CCUACGGGUGGCUGCAGUUUCGAAUCAUUCACAAUGGGCGAAAGCCUGAUGGUGCGACGCCGCGUGAGGGAUGAAGGCCUUCGGGUUGUAAACCUCUGUCACUGGGGAAGAAACGCUUCAAGUUAAUAGCUUGAAGCCUGACUUAACCCAGAGAGGAAGCAGUGGCUAACUCUGUGCCAGCAGCCGCGGUAAUACAGAGACUGCAAGCGUUAGUCGGAUUGGUGGGGCGGAGGCGGUGUGCAGGCGGUGUGAAAGCCCGGGGCUUAACCUCGGAAUUGCGCCUAAAACUACACGGCUAGAGCAUUGGAGAGGGUAGCGGAAUUCACGGUGUAGCAGUGAAAUGCGUAGAUAUCGUGAGGAACACCAGAGGCGAAGGCGGCUACCUGGACAAUUGCUGACGCUCAGGCACGAAAGCGUGGGGAGCAAAAGGGAUUAGAUACCCGAGUAGUC
rnacentral:rRNA from 1 species